rnacentral:rRNA from 1 species
AAACUCAAAGGAAUUGACGGGGGCCCGCACAAGCGGUGGAGUAUGUGGUUUAAUUCGAUGCAACGCGAAGAACCUUACCUAGGCUUGACAUCCUGGGAAUCCUGCAGAGAUGCGGGAGUGCCCUUCGGGGAAUCCAGAGACAGGUGGUGCAUGGUUGUCGUCAGCUCGUGUCGUGAGAUGUUGGGUUAAGUCCCGCAACGAGCGCAACCCUUGUGUUUUAGUUGCAAACAGGUCAAGCUGUGCACUCUAGACAGACUGCCGUGGACAACACGGAGGAAGGUGGGGAUGACGUCAAAUCAUCAUGCCCCUUAUGAUCUGGGCUACACACGUGCUACAAUGGCCGGUACAACGGGCAGCGAAGGAGCGAUCCGGAGCGAAUCCUAAAAAGCCGGUCCCAGUUCGGAUUGCAGGCUGAAACUCGCCUACAUGAAGUUGGAGUUGCUAGUAAUCGCGAAUCAGAAUGUCGCGGUGAAUGCGUUCCCGGGUCUU